CUCGUCAGGCUCAGUCCCCUCCCGAUAAACCUCUAAAUAGGGACCUUCCCGGGGGGCUACCUCGGCU
rnacentral:pre_miRNA from 8 species